rnacentral:misc_RNA from 1 species
CGUCAUGAAAGUCGGUAACACCCGAAGCCAGUGGCCUAACCUUUUGGAGGGAGCUGUCGAAGGUGGGAUCGGCGAUUGGGACGAAGUCGUAACAAGGUAGCCGUACCGGAAGGUGCGGCUGGAUCACCUCCUUUCUAAGGAGCACCACGAGAAACACUCCAAUUGGUGGGGUGUGAGCCGUGAGGGGUUCUCGUCUGUAGUGGACGAGGGCCGGGUGCACAACAACAGGCAAUCGCCAGACACACUAUUGGGCCCU